ACUAGAUGGCCCUUCUAACUCUAGGAGUCUAUGAUUCUAAUUAUUCUGUGUGAUUUAUGCUGUAUUUGUGAUGUUCUAUUAUGUUCUAUCAUGUUAUUAUAAUUCAUUGUUUGUAAGCCGCUUUGGGAUUCAUUUAAAUGAAGAGCGGAAUAGAAAUAAAAUCAGUCAAUCAGUCAGUCAAAACCCAAUGGCGUGUCAGCAAGCAGGGACCUGCCUGCAGUAUUCAUGGUGAUAGGCAGUAAAGAGGUGCCCUGCAUUUUCUAGUAGUAGUAGUGGUUAAGCCAUUGCAAGGAGUGUAACAUUUUAUAAUCUUGUGCUUUGAUUUGUUUAUUGUAACUGCUACUUUAUGAAUGGGCAUAUUAAUAUCCUAUUACCUGCCUAAAGCCUUUGGGCAUGGAUAGAGUGAAAAAUCUAAAUUAAUAAAUCUGUGUAUUCAUAUGGCAAACUAACCAGCCAAUAUGAAAAUGAGAUUUCCUGCAUAGUUUAUUUCCUCCUUUCUUAAUCGUCUGCCAAGAUUCUUUCCGUUCUUGAAUAUGAGAUAUAACAGGACAGUAAAAAAAAAUAAAAAUGCUUUAAUUCAAUUUGUCGAUUAUAGUGAAUGAGUGAUAAGAUAUUUGAUCAGAUAAUACACUUUCCUAAGUGCUGUGGUCUUUUGAUUGCUUUCUGUUUCGUAUAGUUCAGUCAUAAAGUCAGAUAAAUUAGAGAUGGGGGUGUGGGAAAACCUUAUCCUUUAUCCAGUUAAUUCUUUUUAUGGUACUGGAAAUUGAGACAGAGCACUUGAAAUCUUUUCUCGCUCUACAUCUCCCAGCCAAUGCAUUUUCAACCAUUUCUUUUGGGAGAAAUAUCCGUAUUUUCAAGGAACCUAAAGACAGACCAGAUGCUUCUUGAUAACUACCUACAUUUUUCCUCAUACCGUUUCUUCCAUGUACGCUUUUCUUUUGGCUCAGUGUUUUAGUAUCUUGGUUGUUGAAUAUUUAUACUUGGUCACUGUCAAACUCAUGUAGUUUCUUAAUCCAUUAGCUAUAUUCAAGGCAGGCCCAAGAUACUUCACUUCUUCCAGUGAAGGACGAGAAGGUGGUUUCCCCCUAUUCUACAUACAGAAGCUGAUCCAACUGCCAGUUGACUGUUACUCUGAAACUAGUGAUGGGACAUCAUCCUCUACUGUGCCCAAGGGCACCAGACUAGUUUAAGAGUACACAGGGCCUGCCUCUUGGCUUCUGCUGCCUGAAGUGGCUGCUUCACUCUGCUUAAUGGUAGGACCAACCCUAGCUACAUUUAGGGACUUAUCAAAUUAGUCAUAGGGAACCAUGCAACAGGAACACAGGAAACCACCUAUAAUGAGUCAGGCCACUGGCCCAUCUAGCUAGUAUUGUCUCCUAGUAUAGGUGAUUCGACCCAUCUCGCCACCUGAGGCAAAGAGGAAAUUGCCACCUCCUGGCCUGCUGAGCUGCACCCCAUUUCUGCUAUCGCCACUGCUCCCUGGCUCUUACCAAACUCAGGGAGAGCUGGGGCGCUGAUCGGCUCCCACCACCAGGGGUGUGGAAGACAAGUAGCAAAGCCACAUGCUGAAACGCCUCCCUCUUAGUCCCAACCAGCAUGGCAAGUGGUCAGGGGUGAUGAGAGAUUGGCAAGAUCAACAUCUCGGAAGACCACAGGUUCCCUCUCUCUGAUCUACAACCACUGAUAGUGACUCCCCAGGGUUUCCAGCAGGGCAUCAUGAUGACACUCUUUGCCCCAGUUAUCCUAGGCAACAUGGGUGUUUUCAUUUUAUUUGCUAUAUGCAUACCAUUGAACUUGUUUAUAUGUAGACCUUUCACUGAAAUGAAUAGGGGAAUCCUUGCCCUUAAAGGGGAAACAUUUGGGUAAGCAUUGGAGCUCUCAUGCUCAUAGCUACUACUGAACAAGGGCUUUUGAAGUCAUAGGGUGCCCACCAUGGAUCUAUGGCUAUCUUUUCCCAGCCUCAUAGCUGACUAAAGUAUAGUAGGGGUUUGUUUUUGCAAUUCUUUGGUCCAUUAACAUAAUAAUCUUGUGAGUUUACUAGCAAACAUGUUAUUUUAUGUUUGAUUUUCCUGCAUGCCUCAAAUGACGUUUUCUUUUCCAAAAAUAAAUCUUACUCAUGUUUAUAUAGCUUCUUUGUAUUUUUCCCUUUGGUUAGAGCUGCUGCAGUCACAAAAAGCCUUCACCUGCUUCGAAGUACAUUUAUUUUCAUUUUAAUAAAAAGGAGAAGUAAUCGGCAGAGUUGUAAAGGCUGCAGAAUUAAAAAUUUAAAAAGUGGAGGACAGUCAGUUGUUACUACUCAUUGCUUUGGAGUCUCAGGAACCCCUAUCUAUCUGGUUGUAAACAAAGGGAUUAUCCAGAGUUUGAUGCCUUUGUAAAAAUCUGAUAAUCUGACUGCUGAUGGUACCCAAAUACCAUCCUAGAAGAGGCCUUGCCUGUGACAAAUGUAUAGGUCACCCAGAGCAGUCUGUGGGACAUAAACAGAUUUUGCUUCUAAUAUUUCCUUUCAAGAUCCUGAGGAAAUUUUUAGAUUCAAAGCCUGUAGCCAGAUCCCACAAAGGCCAAUAAGCAGGAACUAUAACUGAUUCAAUCACUGUUGCUAAAAGCUAUCUCAGAGAGUAAUUCUGAAUCCAAAGGAAUCUUGUGGUAGGGGCAGGUUCUCCUUUUAAAUGGCUAUAUUGAAAAUGGUUUCAUAAUUAAAAAGACAGAAAAUUAUUUUAAGAUUUAUUGUGUCAGAUAUAUUGAUCUAGUCCAUGUUGAAAGUAGGCUUGAGUUACAACUGAUGUGAGAAAGAAAAUAUUUAUUUAAAACUUUGUAAUAUUUUUCUAGGGUUCGAGACUUUGUAAGAGUUGCUUUUCUAAAGGGCCCAACCGGUGUCUUUAACGUGUUCACUUUUGAUGAGCAGGAAAAGAUGGCUUGAUUGAUGUGCAUUUGGUCCACUUGCCUACUUUAAAUCCUACCUUUAAAUUUUUAAUUUACUUCUGGUAGUUCCUUUAUUUUUCAUAUUAUGGAAGCAUGUAUUCUGUGUGGGGCUGCCUUCCAUAUUUGGUAGACCAGCAGAUUUGCCAGGGCAGUUUUCCUUGCAUUUUCCGCAACUUGGACAUCUAGGGCAGAUGGGAAACCUGUGCCCCUCCAAGGAUGGGGAAGAAUCGCAUUUGGUCUUCAUCUUUAUGUGAAUUGACUUAAUUCUCAUUUGCAGCACUACUGCACAUAUUGAAAAUCCUUCAGAUUUCACACUCCUUAGAAUUUUAUGAGACAGUUAUUGGAUCGUAGAACAUACACAUUACAAAUAAAAUUCAGAAGGUGUACAUUUAAAUAAAUUAUAUAUUUUUAGAUUCUGAAUUUUUGUACUGAUCAGUUCAUCCUUACUCCAUAUAUUGCUGGGCCCCAUCUUCCACUAUCUCUGAGCAUUUGCCAUGCUGCUGGGGAAGAUGGUAGUUGGAGUCCACCAGCAACAUCUAAAAGGCUGCAGGUUUCCUAAGCUAGGAAGAUAGCCCUUGACUCAGAUCUGCCUUGCUAUAGCCUCUGAUUCAAUCAAACACACCGAACACUCUCUCUUACAUGUUGUUCAAAUGGUAACUCACAAAAUUGCCUUUCAUGUUAAAUUGCCAGGUUUAUCCCAGCUACUUAAUCUUAAUCCUGCACUCAGUAAACAAACCAACAUGGUGGGUUCAUUUUAUUCCCAACACAUUUCCCUUCACUACCAGGUUACUCAUUACCAUCAGCACCUGAAUGCAAUAAGCAGGCAACUUAUCAAUUCAAACCAUGAGGACUGUGUAGAGACAAUUAAGGUAGCCAGGUGACAUAGAGUUUAUUUCCUAGAGUUCCUAUAAAUGAUGACAGAUACAUAAACACCAAGUCCUUCUAUUUUCUGGUUUAAUUACAGUAUAUUUAUUAUUUCUGUAUAUUGCUCCUCACAUUUAAGCCCAUGUAGACCUAUUAAAGAGCAUUUCCAGGAAAAUAUUGCAGGGACCUUUCAGAGUACCAUACGUAUAAAAUGCAAGGAAAUGAUGGGGUUGUCUAGGAACUACAUUAGACCAUUAGUGCAUAAUGCCGUAAUAUGUUUUAAUGAGCACUUGAGUAAAUGCAUAAGCAUUAGCAUGGAAGUUCUGUUAGAAGCAAUAGCAAUAAUUAUGAAGUUUCCAUUUUAAAUUCAGAAUAAUUGCAUUUAGGGAUGUCCAAUAAAAGUAUUUGCUGUAAUGUAGUUCAGAGAGAAUAAACAUGGUACAACAGAAAGGGAAGAAUCUCAUUGAUGUGAGUAUCUGGAUUCUCACAGACUUGAAAUCACAUUGGAACUCUGUAUGCCUGUUCAGCAAGAGCUGUAUGCUCAGUACAGAACAAUUAUGAUAGCAAGGAAUAAUACAACUGUAGAGUUGGAAGGGACCCCAAGGGAAAUAUAUGUUGACAUUUAACAUGUACUGUUACAUGAUUUAUGUAACUUAUAAAGCACUUUACCAAAGUUAUUGACUUGGUCUUCUAAAACUUCACAGAAUGAUUUGGGAGGAAAUUUGUUUUUUAUCAUGGUGGGAACCUCCCUUUUUUAGUUGCAAAAUAGCACCCAAAUCUACACACAUGCACACAUCCAAACACAUUCUGAUCUCAAGAAGAAUGAUUCCAACAAAGCCAAUUAUAAUUCAUUGACUAUUGCAUCCAGCCAGUUAGGAAUCAUGUAGCCAAGCAGCAUGGUGAUUCAGCAUGUAUCCUAGCCAGACUUGGCUGUAUGAAACAACACACAACACAAAGCUAUAUAAGAGUGAGGGCAAUGCUACCUGCCCUCAGUUUGACUCAGAGAACACAUUCAUCCCAUAUAGCUCCUCCCUGAACAUGUUUUGUAGCAGGUAAGUUUUCCAUUAGAACAUCCCAUCACCAUUUUCACCAAGCCCUAAUUUUAUAUAUAGGGGAGGGCGUGUAGCUCAGUGGUAGAACAUCUCCUUUGCAUGCAGAAGGUCCCAGGUUCAAUCCCUGGCAUUUCCUGGUCUCCAAUUAGGGCUGGGAGACAAUCCUGUCCAAAACCCUGGAGAGCCACUGCUGGUCAGCAUAGACAAUGCUGAGUUAUAUUGAUCACUGGUCUGAUUUGAUGUAAGGCAGCUUCCUAUGUUCCAUUAAGGCUGUAAUUCUAACCCCAUGUACUUAUUAUUUUAUUAUUUAUUAGAUUUGUCAGUUGCUUUAUCUUGCCUAGGGCAACCCAAAGCAGCUUACAAACAAACAAACAAACAAACAAACAAACAAUUAACCCCACACAGAUACAGUCAAACCAAGGGGAGAGAGAAAUACAUUAAAAACACCCUGCCCACUUCUAAAAGGCCACAGAUAGUUAAAGCCCAAAGCCUGGAUAUAGAGGAGAGUUUUUGCCUGGCACCUAAAGAUAUGAAUGUAGUGAAGGCGCCAGGUGAACCUCCCAUUUCACAAACAGGGAGCCACUGCAGAAAAGGCCUGCUCUCAUGUUGCCACCCUCCAGACCUCUCAUGGACUUCUCUGUUGGCUUUUAACUUCACCAGUCUUCAUUAUCUCCUUUCCCCCCACUCUGCAACAGCCCAGCUAUGGCUGCAAGCCUACACACAUAAGGUGAGAGGAACGAAAUGGGACUUGCUCUUUGGUUAAACAUACAAAAGGGCUGGACCACAUCCUUUUCUUUACAAACCGUGUGUGUUGUGUCUCAACAGCCAGAAAGGCAGUGGGGUCCUCUACAACAGAACCUUGCCAGGUCGAGAAAUAGAGGGUAUGGGCAUUUUAAAGUCUUGCGACUAAGCCCCAUUGAAUUCAAUAGGACUUACUUCUAACUAAACGUUGUUAGGAAUGUGCUGCAGAACAGACAUAAACACUUUAAUUAGCAUGUAUUUUCUUUCCCUAAAGUGGUAAAAGGAAAGACUAGCGCUGGAAGGAACAAGGUGCAAAAUUCAUCAUUCCAAAUCUGUGUUGGGGACCACGAGAAAAUAACUCCUUUAAAUGAAACUGGGACUUAUAUAGGAUUAGGCAAGUCACUCUACAACAUCAUGUGUAGCAGGCACAGGUAAAGGGUCGCCCUACAGGUGUUUUUGGACUCCAGUUCUCAACAUGAACUUCCAAGUUCAGCAACAUCUGAAGUUGCCGGUCCCUGAUGCAUAGAGUGUGGGGGAAUGGGAGGAAGGAUGUCAGUAGUAGAGAGUUCUACUAAUAUUAGAAAUGUCAGCAGAACUUCAGCUUUCAUGAUUUUUGUCUAUUGCCUUUCAAAGACAGAUUUGAAAGUGUAAAUUAAUCCAAAGACAAUUUCACAUCCUGACUACAAUUAAGAAGGACAGCCAUCUGGGGCUCUAAUUAUUCAUCAAGGAAACUUAGACACCCCCUUCCCCUCAGCUAUUUUUAUGACCCCUUAGACAGUGCGCUAUUCAAAACAUUUUGGGAGGAGCAAAUCUUUUGUGUGCCUUCUGACAACUGCUAUUUUUGUCAUCAUCCCUUUCUUUUUUACAAUGAACAGUUUGAUCCGUGUUGCUUACACACACACACACACACACACACACACACACACACCUACCUCUGCCUGCCCCUUCACUGCCUUUUUGUCCUUGAGACACAAUAUGCAAAUCAUUUUUCUCUUGCUUUGAAAGCUAUCACAACUCCAGCUUUGCUCCAGUGGGCGGUACCGAUGAGAUUCGAAUAAUUUGUCUGAUGAAUGAGAUCCACAAUUAUUUUUGCUUGAGACAUCUAACAUUUUCAGCUGAGAACACUGAUGCUACACAGAAAACAAACACAAGAACAGUUUCAAAUCCAGAUUACCAUUU